CCCUACGGGGUGCAGAUGGCAGCAGAGAUUCGCAUGAGCAGCGGCAAAGGGAGCGGCGAGGACACCCGGGCCUCGUUUAUGAGAGGGGUGGCCGAGGCCAUAGAUAACGCCGCCGGAGGGGGAGCAGACGUGAUCCUCGCUGGCCCGGGAUUUGCCAAGGACGACCUGAAGAAGGUGAUAGACUCCUCUUACCCCGACCUGGCGGGGAGGAUCGCCAUGGACGAUGCCUCCUCAAUUGGCAGAUCGGGCUUCCAGGAGGUGCUCCGCCGGGGAGCGGUGAAAAGCGUGCUUGAGUCCAGCCGCAUAGCCAGGGAGGCAAAGCUGAUCGAGGAGCUAUUCAGGGAGAUCGCUACGGGCGGCAAAGCGGCCUACGGCAUCGCCGAGGUGCAGAAGGCGAUGAAUUACGGAGCCAUAGAGAGC
rnacentral:rRNA from 1 species